rnacentral:rRNA from 1 species
UGUGGUCAAAGCCUACGGCAAAAGAAAAUCCCCUUAUCUCUAGUUUCAUCGAGCUCUUUCCAGAGAGCGCGAGAGCAUCCCAAAUCCCUAGUCGCCGCUGCUGGCUGGACCCCAAAUCCGUCGCCGCCGGCUGCACCUGCUCAAAUCCUAGCCUCCCCGAACCUCUCACCCGCCCCUCCGCUCUAUUCCUCGGCUCGCCAACCACUGGACCGCAGCCUCAGAAUCGAACGUCGCCGUCCUCGUCUCAGCCGCCGCCGUCGCCGUCCUCGUCCCAGCCGUGGUCGUCCCCGUCCAAGUCACAGCCGCCGCCGUCGCCGUCCAAGUCCCAGCCGCCACCGUCGCCAUCCUCGUCCAAGCCGCAGCCGUCGCCGUCCUCGUCCCAGUCGCCUUCAUCACCGUCCCAGCCACCGCAGCUCCAUCGUCCUCCAACCGCCGUCCGUUCCCCAUCAAGACAUCUCGUCCUCUGCCUAGUCCAGGAAGUGGUGAGGCUCGCUUGGAUUCAGCACGGGGCGUUUCCACUCUACUGGCUGGCCAUUAACUCAGAGAUGGUUGUGCUGCGUCACAGACGUACUAGCUGUGGUGGUAGCCGUGCUAACCGGAAUGCUCUUGUUGGUUCAGGCAACCCCAACAAUGAUAGCUCACAAAGGUCCCGAUCUGAUGGUGUUAACUCCACUGGUCCUUUAUCUCAAAAUAGUGAUAUGAACACA